rnacentral:lncRNA from 1 species
ACUCUGCCCCUCGGGCUUCCCCUUAACGUCACCAGCACGCGCCAUCUGUGUGACAAGCCCAACUGUAGGAGUGGUACCUGACAGUCCGUCUGACUGCUACAUGAACUCACAAAUCGCUGUUGCCAGCCAUCUGGCCAUCCUCCUAACGUGCUCCUGAGUUCUGUGGGCCGAGGAGAGCCUCAGCCAUGCUUUCUGAAGUCACAGGUAA